rnacentral:lncRNA from 1 species
AAUGUCUUAGGGCUUUAUCCCCUUCCUCCUAAGUCAGUUAACUCUGCAGAAAGAAAGGUUAAGUGAACUGAAAAUUUUAGUGAUGAAAACAAUUCUCUUUCUUUGGCAAAAAUAAGCAUAUCUGCAUUUACGAGCUUUUCAUGUCAUGGGAGCUGACCCCUUUCAAGCAGAGAGAAAAAGGGAGACCAGUGAAUCCCAGGAUUGGGAAAGGAGAGAGGGGAAGGAGCAGGAGGGUGGCUAGCCUGUCACGCCUAAAGCAGCCUCUUUCUGAGAGCUGAACCCAUGGGACUCGGGAACUCUGGGUCAGGGAGAGAGAAGUGCGGUUGAAUUGUUGGGGGUGGGGCGGGAGUGGUCACCCGACACACACCACGUCCACACCAGGCAGAGAAAGUCCCCACGUCUGAAAAACAAAAACUCGUAAAUAGGGAAGUAUCUGAAGCUGAGAAAACCAACGGACACCUGACAGCUUUCCUUACGCAAAUCUCAAUUAGUAUACCAAAACAAGUGACUAAAGCCGGCUUCGCUUAUGAAGAAGUUGACCCCUGCUUUCUACAGUCGGAUGACUAGAGUCAGAGACUUAAAAACAGGAAGCGCCAGAUGUAAUAUCAAAUGACCCAGACAGUGAAAAGCGACGCAGAAAACUAAAUUGGAAGACAGGAAGUCACAAUCACACCACAAACAAUACAGAUAUUUGUCUGAGAUAUGCUUGACGUGGUGCCCUAUCACGACCAGAAAAUGGAGGAGCACAGCCAAAAUGAGGAUAUUUAUCAGACGUGGCCAACAGCCAAAGGGUUUGGAGAUGUGAAAGUACCACCCUUCUCUGCCACCCGAGAUGCUGUGGUCCCUGGAUGGAUGGUAGGCUACCGGUAAACCAGCAACAAUACGUGAAGGUACAGUCACAAGGAAAAGACAAGCUCAUAAAUUUAAUUGUACAACUUUUUGAUGAUCUAGAAUGUGGCCUUUAUUUUCCAAAUUAUUUAGACUGUAAGUGAUAGGCACACUAGCUCAAAAUAUCUCAAACCAAAAAAGAUAAUUUAUUUGGCUCAUGUAACUGAAAGAAAAAAUCCAUAUCAUGUCUUCAGGCACAGUUGGAUCAAGGCCC